rnacentral:tmRNA from 1 species
GGGGCCGAACUGGUUUCGACCGGGCAGGGAAGGUCAGGUGUGGCGCGUCCAGGGGCGUGUUGGCCUGGAUAAAAACACGCACAACAUUAAUUGCUAACCGCAAUUACGCUCUCGCGGCCUAACUUUGGCUGCAUGGUCCGCCGCUGACGCCUGAUAGGCGGUGGACCACAAGACAUCAGGCUGUAUCGGUGCGCGACGCCUUCGGGCGCACCGAUGAGAAACUUCCGCGGGCUGGGAUCCGGGUGAUGCUGCCGGUGGCGGCGGCCGGGUCCGAGAUCAAACCACCGGACACACGCGUAGAAGCAUCUGGCUGACUGUCUCGGCACGGGGGUUCGAUUCCCCCCGGCUCCAUUU